rnacentral:tRNA from 1 species
GCAGUGGCAGCAGCCUACGAUGUCCAGCCGUCCCCGUGAUCGAACUUGUAAAGCGAAGGUCGUCGGUUCGAAUCCGACAGUCG